rnacentral:rRNA from 1 species
AGUGAACGCUGGCGGUAGGCCUAACACAUGCAAGUCGAACGGCAGCACAGUAAGAGCUUGCUCUUACGGGUGGCGAGUGGCGGACGGGUGAGGAAUACAUCGGAAUCUACUUUUUCGUGGGGGAUAACGUAGGGAAACUUACGCUAAUACCGCAUACGACCUACGGGUGAAAGCAGGGGAUCUUCGGACCUUGCGCGAUUGAAUGAGCCGAUGUCGGAUUAGCUAGUUGGCGGGGUAAAGGCCCACCAAGGCGACGAUCCGUAGCUGGUCUGAGAGGAUGAUCAGUAACACUGGAACUGAGACACGGUCCAGACUCCUACGGGAGGCAGCAGUGGGGAAUAUUGGACAAUGGGCGCAAGCCUGAUCCAGCCAUACCGCGUGGGUGAAGAAGGCCUUCGGGUUGUAAAGCCCUUUUGUUGGGAAAGAAAAGCAGCAGGUUAAUACCCCGCUGUUCUGACGGUACCCAAAGAAUAAGCACCGGCUAACUUCGUG